UCCUACGGGAGGCAGCAGUAAGGAAUAUUGGGCAAUGGACGCAAGUCUGACCCAGCCAUGCCGCGUGCAGGAUGACGGCCCUACGGGUUGUAAACUGCUUUUGUACGGGAAAAAACCCCUGGUCGUGUACCGGGGCUGAUGGUACCGUAAGAAUAAGCAUCGGCUAACUCCGUGCCAGCAGCCGCGGUAAUACGGAGGAUGCAAGCGUUAUCCGGAUUCAUUGGGUUUAAAGGGUCCGCAGGCGGAUUCAUAAGUCAGGGGUGAAAUCCUACGGCUCAACCGUAGAACUGCCCUUGAUACUGUGAAUCUAGAGUACAGUUGAGGUGGGCGGAAUGUGUCAUGUAGCGGUGAAAUGCAUAGAUAUGACACAGAACACCGAUCGCGAAGGCAGCUCACCAAGCUGUAACUGACGCUCAGGGACGAAAGCGUGGGGAUCAAACAGGAUUAGAUACCCUGGUAGUC
rnacentral:rRNA from 1 species